GAGCAUCGACCAAAAAAUCAUAUAUCAUCAAACUAUGAAAGCUUAAUCAUAAGCUUGUUGAUUUGUCGAUAUCAUUACUAUCUGAGCCU
rfam:Nicotiana attenuata strain TT chromosome 1, whole genome shotgun sequence.